CUCUGUGUCUGAUUGUUGACAUGGCUUCAUAAACACGUGUAUUCUGUGGUCUGUUUGAUUGGUGUGUUUUUAUUCCGACAUAUUAUAAACUCAAAUUAAAUUUCGUGAUAUAAUUAAUUUUU
rnacentral:ribozyme from 1 species